CAGUCGCCGCGGGAAUACGUAGGUCCCGAGCGUUGUCCGGAUUUAUUGGGCGUAAAGCGAGCGCAGGCGGUUAGAUAAGUCUGAAGUUAAAGGCUGUGGCUUAACCAUAGUACGCUUUGGAAACUGUUUAACUUGAGUGCAAGAGGGGAGAGUGGAAUUCCAUGUGUAGCGGUGAAAUGCGUAGAUAUAUGGAGGAACACCGGUGGCGAAAGCGGCUCUCUGGCUUGUAACUGACGCUGAGGCUCGAAAGCGUGGGGAGCAAACAGGAUUAGAGACCCCUGUAGUCCCUGUCUCUUAUACA
rnacentral:rRNA from 1 species